ACUGCACUCCUCACUCCUGGCUGCAGCCAGAGCUCACGGCCAGCAGCCCGCACCCCCGCCAGGGGGACCUGGCCAGAGUGUCCGAACAGGUUCAGGUUACACUCAACUUCCCCAAACUGAAUGGGUUCAACUGCCAUAAACUAUGGAACAUGUGCAUGAACCGUGGCGGCAAUGUGACAAUUACUGUCAACCCCCCUAGCGCUGCUGCAUUCCCAAGGU